rnacentral:lncRNA from 1 species
ACAGCUCAAUAUUUAGGAAGCUUACUAUUGCUUUUGGUAUUUACAUCCUAAGCACUCAUUUCUGUCUUCAGAACUCACGUAUUUAAUGUGGCGUGGCCAUAGCUCCAUGAUAUGAGGUCAUGGGCCUACAGUAACCAGACAGUGAGGGGUGCCCUGGUCCCUCUUCAGGGACUGACUUUGACAGACUGCCAGUUUUUCUUGUGCUGAGCUAUCUGCCUCUUUUAAAUAUUGUACUAAUUAUUUUACUUAUUUUUUUCUGUGUGUGAUGGUGUCUCUCCAUGUAGGCUGACCUCAAAUUUGAGCUCCUUCAGCCUGAAUUUCGGGAUUACAGGUUUGAGCCACCAUGAACAGCUAGUAAUAGAUGGGUCUCUUUCUUUCUUCCUUUCUUUCUUUCUUUCUUUCUUUCUUUCUUUCUUUCUUUCUUUCCUUCUUUCUUUCUUUUUCCCCUUCCUUUCUCUUUGUCUUUGUUGUUGUUGCUAUUUGCUUGACUUGGUUUGGAUUUUUUUUUUUUUUUUUUUUAAAUCAGGGUCUCACUAUGUAAUCCUGGCUAUCCUGGCUGUCCUGGCUAUCCUGGCUGUCCUGGCUAUCCUGGCUGUCCUGGCUAUCCUGGCUAUCCUGGCUAUCCUGUAGCUUGCCGAGUAGACCAAGCUGUCAUCAAACCCAGAAAUACUACUGCCUUUGCCUCCCAAGUAUUAAAGGCAUCCGUCACCAUGCAUGGCUAAUAAUUCCUUUCUUCCUUCUUUUCUUUCUUU